rnacentral:rRNA from 1 species
UCGAGAAUCUUUUGCAAUGCGCGAAAGCGUGACAAAGCAAUGCCGCGUGCCGGAUGAAGGUCUUCGGAUUGUAAACGGCUGUCACCCGUGACGAAAAAUGACGGUAACGGGAGAGGAAGCCACGGCUAACUACGUGCCAGCAGCCGCGGUAAUACGUAGGUGGCGAGCGUUGUUCGGAUUUAUUGGGCGUAAAGGGUCCGUAGGUGGUUUGUUAAGUCUGACGUGAAAUCCCAUGGCUCAACCAUGGAACUGCGUUGGAAACUGAUGAACUGGAGUGUUGUAGAGGUAAGCGGAAUACCAGGUGUAGCGGUGGAAUGCGUAGAUAUCUGGUAGAACACCGAAAGCGAAGGCAGCUUACUGGGCAACAACUGACACUGAGGGACGAAAGCGUGGGGAGCAA